CGAACAACGAUGAAAGAGAGCAUCUGUUAGCCCAGACCUUCAGGGAACUAAAGUCGGAGACUGAAAGCUUUAGUGGUUGCUGGUAACAGAGAUUCACUCUGGAGUUGCAUUCCUGAACUCAAAGUAGGGAAUGCCGGCCGCUUCCGUUAAGAGCCUUGAUUCAUUCCAGGAUCAUGUGAGUGGCUGUUGUACAUACAGCAAAAAGGGUGGUACCGCGUGACUUAACUCGUCCCUUAU
rnacentral:ncRNA from 1 species